GGAGGGGUGUCCGAGUGGUUGAAGGAGCACGCCUGGAAAGUGUGUAUACGUGUAAACGUAUCGAGGGUUCGAAUCCCUCCUCCUCCGCCA
rnacentral:tRNA from 2 species